UACGUAGGGUGCGAGCGUUAAUCGGAAUUACUGGGCGUAAAGCGUGCGCAGGCGGUUUGCCAAGUCAGGUGUGAAAUCCUCGGGCUUAACCUGGGAAUUGCGCUUGAAACUAGCGGGCUUGAGUGUGGCAGAGGGGGGUGGAAUUCCACGUGUAGCAGUGAAAUGCGUAGAUAUAGGAAGGAACACCAGUGGCGAAGGCGACCACCUGGACUGAUACUGACACUGAGGUGCGAAAGCGUGGGGAGCAAACAGG
rnacentral:rRNA from 1 species